rnacentral:lncRNA from 1 species
GACUGCUGCCUUCAAGAUGCUGCUGCCAUAUUCAAGUUAGGUUUUCUUACCUCAAUUAGCCUAACACAAUGCCUCACAGACACACCUAGAGGCUAACCUAAUAUGGAUAACCCCUCAGGCAUGUCAUAGGCUUGUCUCCUCGGUGACUCUAGAGACUGUAACGUUGACAAUCAAUAUCUACCAUUAUCCAUCCUCCCAAAUGACUCUACAUUGUGUCAAGUUGACAAAAAAAAAAAAAAAUCAGCCUGAAUGCCGGACAGUGGUGGAGCACAUGGACCUCUGAGUUAAAGGCCAGCCUGGUCUAUAGAGUGAGUUCCUGGAUAGCAAGGGUUACACAGAGAAACCCUGAAAAAAAAAAGAAAGAAAGAAAGGAAAAGAAAAAGAAAAUUGCCUGCACAAACAGUUUUUGUCUUAACUGCUAAGACAUCCAGACCCAUCAGUUUUUCUCCUUUGACUGUCAUCUAUUAAUAUGGGCAAACAUAACAAAAAUCUCACUGAAUCCCCAGUAAACCAGGAUAUUACUUAAAACCUUUGAAGCAAUAUUUUAUGUUCUUGGAGAAACAUCUGUUUUGAGAAGAUUUCCAAGAUGAACAAGAUAUUUUACCUUCUAAUUUCUGGUAGAGUGGGUGGGUCUUUGAGAGGUAAUGCUGAAAUGAAGUUUUAAGCACAAGAAGUUUAUAGGAGAAAUGAGAGGCCAAUCAGGAAACAUGUGUGACAAACAGGAAGAAAGCCAACAGAGGUGAGGAGCUGGAGCUAAAUUUUUCGGGAGAUGGUGUAAAGCUCAUCUCAGACUUACUCUGCCGGAGGAGCAAAGUUGGGAUUCUCAUCUACAAAUGCUCCAUCUGCUGCAUCUCCAUCUUCUUCACUGAGAGUGAUGUGUGUGUGGAACGGCCUUACAGAACCCGAGCACCAGCAGCUGUUGUUCUGCCAUCCCUCCAGCCUUCCCUCACAGCCUCCUUGGUGUUUUUCCAGUUCUAAGCACCAGCUGGUCCACAGGCAGAAUUCCAACACCAUGACAAUGGAAGACACAUGCCUGUAGAGGUCAGGCUCUGGCACAACAUGGCUUCUGCCACAUUUUACAGAUACAACUGAGUCGAAUCACAGGGAUUUCUCAGAUCCAAGAUGUAAGGAAAGUGAUUCAAAUCCCAAUGGAAGAGUUAUUAAAUAUUGGGUCAGUGUUUUCCAACUUGUAGCAGAUGGCUCUUUGCCAACAUGUGGUCAGAGCUGUGGUGAGCUCCUAAAGGUGAACUUGCUGAGUCAAAUAUAUUAGCAGUUUCCCGAGACAUUGCCACAUUACACUUCACAGAAGUAUUGAUUUUGAAUUGAACCUCAAUGUGUGAGGCUACCAGACCAGGUUUUCCUAUGCCUCACAAUCUUCCUUUGCCACUUUGAUAGUUAAAAGUGGCAUCUCCCUGUACUUCUAACUCAUACUUCUCACAGGAUGAGAGGGAUUGGACAGAUCUUACGUAGCUAUAUUUUCUCUUCUUGAAAUUGGUAUUCAUCAAUCGUCCCCUUGGGUUAUUGCCUUGUUGUCUUAGGGUAUACUAAAGAACUUACAUGUGCUAUUAUAGAUGUGCUUGGUACCAACUCUGGGACAGUUUGCAAUGUUUACUCUGUGAACUUGAAGUGUUCUUAGAUACCUAACUUUGAUCCUAAUGAAGUCUACAAAUCCUCUCCUCCCCUGGGAAAGUCCGAUGGUAUAAGAGAUGAUAAUGCCUUUUAAAUAAGUAAAGUGUGCUAAUUUCACUCAUUAUGUGCAGAUUCACUGACUUUUAAUAAGCUGGUUAUAAAGUAGGGGGUUCUCAUGAUUCCAUGGAAGUUCAAAAUUCUUCUGGAACAAGUCAGUAAUGAGAUGAUACAACUAAGAACCAGUCAGUAGAUUCAGUAUAGGGGCCCCAUGCCUGCCCCAGCAAUUGGAAUGCUGAAGUGGGAUUGUGAGUUCAAGGUUAUUCUUGGCUACAUGCAAGAGGGACCUUGGCAGGAAGCCCCAUAGAGAGUGAGGGACAAACACACCGUGCAGACAGAGCUUAUGUGAGAAG